GACGAACGCUGGCGGCGUGCUUAACACAUGCAAGUCGAACGGACAGACCCUGCUCUUGCGGGGUGCUCGAUAGCCGAACACGUGUGUAACACGCGAGUAACCUGUCCUUGACAUUGGGAUAACUCCAGGGAACUCGGGCGCUUACACGAUAGGAGCUCUUGCUGCACGGUGGGGGUUGGAGAGAUUCGGCGGUUGUGGAUGGACUAGCUGCUUAUCAGCCUCUUGGUGGGGUAGUGGCGUACCAAGGGUUUGACGGGUAGCCGGCCUUGGAGGGUGACCGGCGUCAAUGGGCCUGAGGUACGGCCCAGACGCCUACGGUAGGCAGCAGUGGAGAGUAUUGCGCAGUGGGCGGAAGCCUGAGGCAGAAGCGCCGCGUGCGGGAUGACGGCUUUCGGGUUAUAAACCGCUGUCGCCUGUGACGAAGCGUUAGUGACGGUAAUGAGUAAAGAAGCACCGGCUAACUACGUG
rnacentral:rRNA from 1 species